CCCUUAGAUGUUCUGGGCCGCACGCGCGCUACACUGAUGCAUUCAACGAGUCUAAAACCUGCUCUGAUAGGGGUGGGUAAUCUUUUGAAUGUGCAUCGUGAUUGGGAUAGAUGAUUGCAAUUUUUCAUCUUCAACGAGGAAUGCCUAGUAAACGCAAGUCAUCAGCUUGCAUUGAUUACGUCCCUGCCCUUUGUACACACCGCCCGUCGCCCCUACCGAUUGAAUGAUCCGAUGAAUAUCAUGGAUUGAGGAUGCAAGCAGGUUCGCCUGUCUUCAUCUUCGAGAAGUGAAGUAAAUCUUAUCAUUUAGAGGAAGGAGAAGUCGUAACA
rnacentral:rRNA from 1 species